AUUGAACGCUGGCGGCAGGCCUAACACAUGCAAGUCGAGCGAGCGGCGGACGGGUGAGUAAUGUAUGGGGACUGCCCGAUAGAGGGGGAUAACUACUGGAAACGGCGGCUAAUACCGCAUUCUGUCGGCUCCCCCAUAUGGGAGUAGCUAGUGGGUAAGGUAAUGGCUUACCUAGGCGACGAUGCCUAGCUGGCCUGAGAGGAUGAUCAGCCACACUGGGACUGAGAAACGGCCCAGACUCCUACGGAGGAAGCAGUGGGGAAUAUUGGACAAUGGGCGCAAGCCUGAUGCAGCCAUGCCGCGUGUAUGAAGAAGGCCCUAGGGUUGUAAAGUACUUUCAGUCGGGAGGCGUUACCGACAGAAGAAGCACCGGCUAACUCCGUGCCAGCAGCCGCGGUAAUUC
rnacentral:rRNA from 1 species